GGAGCCUGGCGGUCCUCGCGGCCGCAGCCUUUAUAGGCUCCCCGGCCCCGCCCUGAGCCACCCCCCUCCCUCCCUAGCCCCGCCCCGAGCCCAGCGACUGACCGCUGGCGAAAGGGGGGGUGGCGCGCGUCUGUGUGGUUGUGGGGGGAGGUGUGCGUGGGCCUGUAAACGAGCGGUGUUUGCCACUGUCGGCUCGAAGAGCGUCUGCACUUUUUUGUAAAGAGAAAGAGACGCGGGUCGGCCUUAUGUGAAAGAGGACCGUGCCUGAGUCUGCUGGCUGAGGAAAGGAAGGCGUGUGCGUGCGUGCGCGCGUGCGUGGGAGCAUGUUUUGUAUAGGGGAAGUGUGGGGCUAGGCGCAGUGUCGGGGGUGGGGGGAUAGGGCUUGUGCCCAAGGGUGUGGGGAGUGUACGCGAGCGAGCAAGCGAGUCAGCAAGCCAGCAAGCAAGCAAGCCAUCGAGCUCCCCGCCGGCCGCAGUAUGCAGACGGAGGAGGGGAGAGAGCUGUGCCUGCACGGAGAGACAGAGUGUGUGUGUGUGAGUGCGUGUGUGAGUGUGAGCUGCUCCCGAGAACAGGGAUCCGUGAGUUGGUGUUUGGAGGAAAGAGAGCUGAGUGUGAGGGAGAAAGGGCGGUACGUCUAUGGGUAGGAGAUUGUGGACGGGCACGGGCAGGCGGGGUUCCGAGGCCAAACCAGUUUGUACCACCCCCGGCUGCAGCCGCUGGAGGUCCCCUCCAGUCUGACCUCGGCUGCAGGGAAAGCCCCGCCCUGUCCCUGGGGAGGCCCCUUCCACCCGCAGCCAGAUGCCUGGGGUGGGCCCUACCGAGCCCCGCCUUCUCGGCCUGGCCAGACAGCUGUCCCUCUGCUGGGAGAGGCUACGGCCGGACCGACCCUUUCCCGGGAAGCCCCGAGAGAGAGCCGGGGCCCUCCCAAUGGCUCCCGUUCACCACGCGCCCCUCCCCACUCUACAAAAGAUCUGUUAGGUGAUGUAUGCCAAGUCCCCCAGCGGACCGGCACUCUCCAUUAAACAGACACACACACACACACACACACACACACACACACACACACACACGCAGAUCGGGCUGGGUGGUACAAUAGGAAGAGCCCCAUAGCCCAUCUCUAGGGUUGACUCGGGCAAGUUUCUGCACGUCCCCGUGCCUCAGUUUCCCCAUCUGCAAAAUGAAGGAUUGAGCUAGAUGGCCUCUUAGAGCCCUUUCAGUUCUAGGGUCUAGAAGAAACAUUCCCGCCUGCAGAAGGACAAGGUUGACCCAAAGGAUCUCCAGCCGCUGAACCCCACGUUCCCCACUUUACAGAGGAGGACGCCUCUGCAGCUGCGGAGAGGCUGUGUGGGUGAUGCAUGGCCGCAGAGCUGGCACUUUCCAAAUGCAGAAACUUGCUUUGAAGGACCUAUUGCAUCACCUCCUGCAGGCAUUCAAGGUCCUCACCAUAAGAGCCCAUUUCUAGAGUAAUUGUAGGUUUUCCUCACAAGCACCUUAUGAGCAGAAGCAAAGCAACAUCAAAAAAGGAAUAUGGUUUUAUCAGAAGAAAUUCCAUGGAAGAAGAUGAAUGGGGAGGUAGGUGGCUCAGGGGAUAGAGUAGCAGGCCCGGAUGUGAUCCUUCCCUUCCAAUUCAAAACCAGCUUUUGGGGGGCAACUGGGUGGUUCGAUGGAUUGAGGGCCAGGCCCAGAGACGGGAGGUACUGGGUUCAAAUGUGACCUCAGACACUUCCUAGCUGUGUGACCCUGGGCAAGUCACUGAACCCCCAUUACCUAGCCCUUACUGCCCUUCUGUUUUGGACCUGAUACUCAGUAUAGAUUCUAAGAGAGAAGGUAUGAGUUAAAAAAAAAGAAAAAGGAGGAGAUGUAUUAUCAUCUGCUUUGCUUCUGCACCCAUCUCACUUGCAGCUGGUUCCUUCCCUAUGUGUUGUCUCUCCCAUUAGUGUAGAAGCUCCUUAAGAGCUUUUUUUUCUCUAUGUUCCUAGAGCAUAGCACAAUGUUUUGCACAGAGUAAGAGCUGAAUAAAUGCUUAUUUAGUUAUUAUUUUAUCCUUUCCAAAUCUUCUCUGUCAGCUCAAAUCCUACCUCCUGGCAGAAAUCUCCAUGGUUUUCACAGCUACACUAGCACCCUGCUUUGCAGCAGCAGCUCAUGCCUAUCUCUAGCCUAUCUCCCUCCUGAGCAGGGGGGCCCCAUAGUCUAGUUCCAUCCAUCUUGUCCCCCAGAUGCAAAACUUCCUAUUUACAGCUAUGGUGGUCUCCUCCCUCUCUGAAUUGCUACUCACAGUCAACGCCAAACAGUUUGGAACUUAAUUGCUAACUAAAUGUUUCAGGUGUGUGAGUCUUAGAGUUUCCACCCUUCCCUCCCUCCCCGACUUUGAUUUCCUGUAGGCCAAGUCCCAAGAUGCUCCCUCUUCCUAGAUCCAAUUCAGUCCCUAGCACAGGGAUUCUGUGACCAUUCACAAAAGAGCUGUUCUACCACCUCCUCAGCUUCCACUCCACCCACCAUCGACAUCUUGGGUCCCAAAUAGCCACAGGGCGUUACUAAUGCACCCCUCUUCACCCUAUUGUUUGUAGGUUUGAGGGUCACAAACAUUUCUAACAAAGAAUCCUUACCUUACCUCUCACAAUAAUUUAUCCUCUUGCAAAAGACUUCAGAAACAAGCAACAAAUGACCACUGUGCCAAAGGAAUUUUCCAGAAAGGGAUGGAUGGAUGGAUGCAAGAGGGAACAAAAAUCUAGGCUUCCCAGAAGUCCAUGGCUGAAUGAGAAAGGAGGGGAAAUGAGGGAAGAUUAGGAAAGAGUUGUGGAAGGGAAGAAAGAGGAGGAAAGAGGGGGAGAGAGAUCAAGAGGAGAAGAAGGGAUUGGAGGACGUGGGGAAAAGAGGAAGAAGAGAAAAGGGAAGGAUUAAAGGAAGGACAAAAGGAGAGGAAGGGAAGAAAGGAGAGGGAGGAAAGGGAAGGAAUCAAAGGGGAAAACAAGGGGAAGGACAGACAGGGAAAGGAAAGGAGGAGAGGAGGGGGGAAAGGGGGAAGAGAAUAGAGUAGUAAGGGAAAAGAAGGAAUGAGGAAACCGGGAGAAGAGAUUCUAGCAUUUUAGAAUUUGUUCUGGAAAGGAACUUGGAGAAUUUCUAGACUAGGGGACUUUUUGUGCCAUGAACCCAUUUGGCACUCUGGUGAAGAAGCCUGCAGAAAAAUGAUUCGUUAAGAAAUUCUUAAACAUGGUUCCAUAUGGAGACAAUUAGGGUUUUGAUGUUAAAAAAUGACUACUACAAAUAGGAAUAACAUGGAAAUAGGUUUUGAACUAUGUUACAUGGAUAACCCAGUGGAACUGCUGUCAGCUUCAAGAGUGAGGAGGGAAGGGGGGAAUCAUGUAACCAUGGGAAAAGACUCGAAAUUAUUUAUUAAAUUAUAUAAAUUAUUAUUAUAUAUUGUUUUAUUAAUUAAUUCCUAUAAAUUGUUAUAGAUUAUACAGGAGAUCAAAGUAGGGAAGGGUGGAAAACCUAAGAGAUAUAUAAAUUAGAUAUACUAU